rnacentral:rRNA from 1 species
UACGUAGGGGGCAAGCGUUGUCCGGAUUUAUUGGGCGUAAAGAGCGUGUAGGCGGUUUGGUAGGUCCGUUGUGAAAACUCGAGGCUCAACCUCGAGACGCCGGCGGAAACCAUCAGGCUAGAGUCCGGAAGAGGAGAGUGGAAUUCCUGGUGUAGCGGUGAAAUGCGCAGAUAUCAGGAAGAACACCCGUGGCUAAGGCGGCUCUCUGGGACGGUACUGACGCUGAGACGCGAAAGCGUGGGGAGCGAACAGG